AAACUAAAUGACUCUCGGCAACGGAUAUCUUGGCUCUCGCAUCGAUGAAGAACGUAGCGAAAUGCGAUACUUGGUGUGAAUUGCAGAAUCCCGUGAACCAUCGAGUUUUUGAACGCAAGUUGCGCCCAAAGCCUUCGGGCAGAGGGCACGUCUGCCUGGGUGUCA
rnacentral:rRNA from 1 species